rnacentral:rRNA from 1 species
CCGAUGAGGUGGAAACGGACAGAGCUGGCGUAUCUGGCCUGCAUUCAGCCGCCGCGCGUCGGGCCCCGGAUUUGCCGCACUCCAGAUUGGGAAGGUGGCUGGGCUGCUGGCGUGCUGGUGGUGCAUUUGCAGGUGGAGUGCGCUGAGGCGCUCGGUUCGGCGGCAUGAGCUCGGCUUUGAGGCCAACCGUGCAAGCGGUCUGGUACCCGGGUCGGGGGAGUGUUGUUCGGGCUGAGUGUUCGCUUGGGCACUGGCAUCGGGCCCGGGUGGGUGCCGAGCUGGCGGUCGACGGCGGUCGCAUGCGACACGUGUCAGCAGUCAGUUCGGUCCUGCUCGAGCUCUCAUGUGUCCGGCCUCGGUGUAAAAGCCGGUCAUCUGUCCGACCCGUCUUGAAACACGGACCAAGGAGUUUAGCGUGUGCGCGAGUCAUUGGGCGUUGAAAACCCAAAGGCGCAAUGAAAGUGAAGGUCUGCCUUGUGCAGCUGAUGUGUGAUCCUGGGCGCUGCGGUGCCCGGGCGCAACAUAGUCCCGUCCCGACUGCAUGCAGUGGGGCGGAGACAGAGCGUACGCGCUGAG